ACGGCUCAGUAACACGUGGCUAACCUGCCCUCGGGACGAGAACACCCCCGGGAAACUGGGGCUAAUUCUCGAUAGGCGAAGAACUCUGGAAUGAGUCUUCACCCAAAAGACGCUUAGAUCAUGCUUCUAGACGUCGCCCAAGGAUGGGGCCGCGACCGAUCAGGUUGUUGGUGAGGUAACGGCUCACCAAGCCUUUAACCGGUGCGGGCCGUGGGAGCGGGAGCCCGGAGAUGGGCACUGAGACAAGGGCCCAGGCCCUACGGGGCGCAGCAGUCGCGAAAACUUUGCAAUAAGCGAAAGCUUGACAGGGCUAUCCCGAGUGCCAUCCGCUGAGGAAGGCUUUUACCCAGUCUAGUAAGCUGGGGGAAUAAGGAGAGGGCAAGUCUGGUGUCAGCCGCCGCGGUAAUACCAGCUCUCCGAGUGGUGUGGAUGUUUAUUGGGCCUAAAGCAUCCGUAGCUGGCUGAGUUAGUCCCCUGUUAAAUCCACCGAAUCAAUCGUUGGAUUGCGGGGGAUACUGCUCGGCUAGGGGACGGGAGAGGCAGACGGUAUUUCCGGGGUAGGGGUGAAAUCCUAUAAUCCCGGGAAGACCACCAGUGGCGAAGGCUGUCUGCUAGAACGCGCCCGACGGUGAGGGAUGAAAGCUGGGGUAGCGAACCGGAUUAGAUACCCGGGUAGUCCCAGCUGUAAACGAUGCAGGCUAGGUGUUUGGGCGGCCACGUGCCGCUCUAGUGCCGCAGGGAAGCUGUUAAGCCUGCCGCCUGGGGAGUACGAUCGCAAGAUUGAAACUUAAAGGAAUUGGCGGGGGAGCAC
rnacentral:rRNA from 1 species